rnacentral:rRNA from 1 species
AGAGUUUGAUCAUGGCUCAGAGUGAACGCUGGCGGCGUGCCUAACACAUGCAAGUCGAACGAGAACGGCCUCUUCCUUCGGGAAGGGGUGUCAGCUAAGUGGCGCACGGGUGAGUAAUACGUAGCUAACCUGCCCUAUAGCGGGGGAUAACAGGCCGAAAGGCCUGCUAAUACCCUAUACUCCUUCUCUACAUAAGUAGAGUUGGGAAAGCGUUAUGUAGCGCUAUAGGAUGGGGCUGCGGCCUAUCAGUUAGUUGGUGGGGUAACGGCCUACCAAGACUAUGACGGGUAGCUGGUCUGAGAGGAUGAUCAGCCACACUGGAACUGAGACACGGUCCAGACUCCUACGGGAGGCAGCAGUGGGGAAUACUGCGCAAUGGGGGCAACCCUGACGCAGCAACGCCGCGUGGAGGAGGAAGGCCUUCGGGUUGUAAACUCCUUUUCUGAGGGAAGAUGAUGACGGUACCUCAGGAAUAAGCACCGGCUAACUCCGUGCCAGCAGCCGCGGUAAUACGUAGGGUGCAAGCGUUACUCGGAAUCACUGGGCGUAAAGGGCGCGUAGGCGGUUUAGUAAGUCGGGUGUGAAAGCCCACGGCUCAACCGUGGAACUGCAUUCGAAACUGCUAGACUGGAGUCCGGGAGA